AGGCCAAGGCAAGAUGCUGGACGGGCGGGGACCGAUGGGGGGCAGCAGACCAUGGCCGCGCACCCAGUGCGCCCCCGGGGCCUCCUCUUGUCCUGAGGAGCACCCCCGCUCCCGGUGUCUUUUGGUUUCGACCGGCCGACUGGGAGGGGCCGUGGGACGCCAUUCCCAUAAUGCUCUGGGGCGUGCCGCCGCCGUCGCUGCCACCUCCCCUACCGCUAGUGGAAGAAGAUGGCGGAAGGCGGAGCGGCGGAUCUGGACACCCAGCGGUCUGACAUCGCGACGCUGCUCAAAACCUCGCUCCGGAAAGGGGACACCUGGUACCUAGUCGAUAGUCGCUGGUUCAAACAGUGGAAAAAAUAUGUUGGCUUUGACAGUUGGGACAAAUACCAGAUGGGAGAUCAAAAUGUGUAUCCUGGACCCAUUGAUAACUCUGGACUUCUCAAAGAUGGUGAUGCCCAGUCACUUAAGGAACAUCUUAUUGAUGAAUUGGAUUACAUACUGUUGCCAACUGAAGGUUGGAAUAAACUUGUCAGCUGGUACACAUUGAUGGAAGGUCAAGAGCCAAUAGCACGAAAGUGUCAACAUUCAAAGAAUGGAUGGAAAGAAAGCAAGGAUAUAAGCAGAAAAUACAAUGGAAUCAAAAUCCAAGAGAAACAGCAGACAAUAGAAACAGACCCAUAAGAAACCCAGGUAAUUGAGUUAGUAGAUUUUAGAAUAGUGGGCUUAUUAUGCUAAAAAAAAAAAAAAAGGCAGAUGAGAAGUAGGGCAAAACUAUUAAAGAAGAAGCAAAUAGAAUUCUAAAACUAUUAAUAUGGAAAUUUUAUGGAUUUAAUGUUUGGGAAUAAAAUUAUUAGACCAAACAGAACUGAAGAGAAAAUUUGUAAACUAAAUGAUUUGUCAAUAGAAAAUAUAGAGUCUAAAGCUUAGAGAGACAAAAGAAUAGAAAAUACAGAAAAAAGCUAAGGCAUAAAUAGACUGCCGUAAGUAAGUUUAACAUGCAUACAUAUAGUUGGAAUCUUGGAGAGGAAAGAAAGAGUGGGUAGAAAACCAAAGGACGUAAUAGCUGAGAAUUUUCCCAAACUGAGAAAGGUGUCAUGCUUUAAAUUAAAGAAAUGCUAUGAAUCCCAAACUGAAAUAAUACAAACAAAACUGUACCUAGUACAAAUGUUGAAAAGCAAAGGCAAAAAAAUUUCUAAUAAUAGCCAGAGAAAAAGACAUGUUAUCUUCAAAAUAAGGAUAAGACAAAAUAAUGAUUUCUCAAGAGAAACCAUGGAAGCCAGAAAACGAUGGACUUUGAUAUGUUAAAAGAAAAUAACUGCCAAUAUAGGAUUCUGUGACUAAGAAAAUAAUCCUUCAGGGAUGAAGGUGAAAAAAGCCAUUUUCAAAUGAAAACUAAUAGAAUUUGUUACCUGCAGACGUGUAUUAAAGGCACUACAAAAUAAUCUUAAGAAUGGAAGGAAAAUUAUUCCAGAUGAAAGCUUGGAGAUGCAGGAAAACAGUGUAGGCUGACAAAAUGUAAAUGUUGUGAGUAAGUCUUAAGAUGGACUGUUGAAAACAUUAAUAAUAAUUUUUAUGGAGUUGAAAAUGUGUAUAGAAUUAACUACACAAUAGUGUUAGCAUGUAAGUUAAGAUAAUAUUCUCUACUAUGUUCCCCGGUGAUCCCCAGCUCCUCAUAUCCAUAUUCUUGGGCACUCUUCUUCCAUGUUGUACUGAGGUUGGUCUGUGUGGCCAGUAGCAUAUAGCAGUACUCAUGGUACAUCGCUUUCGAGAUUAGGUUAUAAAAAAACACCGCGGCUUACAUCUUGGGUGCACACGCACUCUAGCUGUCUCUCUUUCUCAUUUCUCACUCGGGGAAUUCAACUGCAUAUGGCGAGGACACUCAGGCAGCCUAUGGAGAGGCCCACAUGGUGAGGAACUGAGAUCUCUGGCCAAUAGAGAGGAACGGAGGCCUGCAACAACCAUGUGGUUGAACAGGGUAUGUUUGUAAAGCACUGCAAAGUAGAAGUAUAUCUCACAGAAUUGAAGCUAUGUGAAAAUGGAAACAUGAAUAAUGUUGUAACUCGAAGAUUUAGCAAAGCUGACACAAUAGAUACAAUUGAAAAGGAAAUAAGAAAAAUCUUCAAUAUUCCAGAUGAAAAGGAGACCAGAUUGUGGAACAAAUACAUGAGUAACACAUUUGAACCACUGAAUAAACCAGACAGCACCAUUCAGGAUGCUGGUUUAUACCAAGGACAGGUAUUAGUGAUAGAACAGAAAAAUGAAGAUGGAACAUGGCCAAGGGGUCCUUCUACUCCUAAAGAGCCACUAGAGCAGAGUUGCUAGUGAACAGUUUAAUUUCCACAUACGUCACAGAAAGAGAGCUAAAGGGCUCUGGUUAUCAUCCACAGACUGACCAGUCAACCCCUAAAUAACCUGAUAUUAACUCCACAAAUGUUAGCUAGAUUGGACCAUGUGUAAUCUGAGUCAGAAGUCGGAAUCAGAAGAGAUAAAUGAUGCGUUAUCACUCAACAGUAAUGUCUGCAACAGUAUUGUAAAAUUGUUAUACUUUACCUGUCGACCACAUCCAUCCUUACCUCUCUCAUCACCUUACUAUUUAAGGACAGUCCCUCUACUCUACCUAUAGUAUUUAUCUCAAUGCUUCCUUGCUUUUUCUUUUAUUAUCUCCUCUCUCCUACAUGUAUAAAUGCCUAGCAUAGUGCCACACAUAUGGUAAACACCAGUUUAUUAUUUUUAUUUCUUUUCUAAUGUCAUCUUCCCCCUCAGCCUAUGAAUAUAAACACAUCUUCAUCUUUAAAACCAAAAACCAUAUACUUCCUCCAUAUACCAUCCUUAAGAUUUUUUUUCUUUGACAGCCACCUACAUUUAAAAGGCUAUACUUAAUGUUGCUUGCCACCCAUUCAGGAUUUAACAAAGUUCUUAUUUGUCUUUCUUUUAACCUAGUUUAUUUGACCUAUCUUUAGUAUUUCUUUUUGAUAACCAUCUUCUAAAGAAAUUCUCUGAAUUUGAAUGCAUGAUACGACCUUUUAUUCCAAGGACUUUGCCUCUCUGACCAGUCCUUUGUCUGUCUAGCUCGGUUCCUCUUUAGGGUUGCCACAUUUAGUUUUGCAAAUUGUGCACAGCUCUAGGGGGCAUCAUUCAUAUCAUAUGUAGUCUGUGUGAUAGGCCCUCCUUGGCACGGUGCAGUGCAGCUUCACUAACUGCAGCAGCUCUGCUCAGACCUUAAAUGCAUUGACAUUCACUAAAUUUCUGUCAGAAGACCUCUUUUAUCAUACCAUAGUAGGUGUUCAAAAUUAGGUGAUUCUAUGCUAAUCCUCUCCCCCAGCUCCAACUGACACAAAAUAUGCCAUUCUGUAUUUCUAGACUAGACCACUUUUCUGAAUUCCAGAUUUUUCAUAAAUUUCAUGUAGGACUCACCACCUCAGAUUAAACCAAAUCUUUUUACCCCUCCUUCUCCCAUCCCCUCAACCUAAACUGUCUUCAUUUCCUGUAUUGCCUAUUUCAAGUACCAUCCAAGAGCCAUCCUGAGUUCCUCCUCCAGCCUUUCUUCUCUUGUCUAGUUAGUCAGCAAGUCUUGCAGAUUCUGCCUCCUCACCUGAAGUUUUCAAACAUUUUGAUUUGGUACCCCUUUACAUUCUUGAAAAUUAUUGAAGAUCCAAAGAACUUCUGUUAUAUGGGUUAUAGCUAUUAAUAUUUGUCAUAUUUGAAAUUGAAAUAAGAUUUUAAGGUAUUUUAAAAUAACAGUACAAAACCAUUGUAUUUUGACAUGAAUAACACUUUUAUGAAAAUAACUAUAUUCCAAAACAAUAAAAUUACCAAAAAGUU